UACGUAGGGUGCGAGCGUUAAUCGGAAUUACUGGGCGUAAAGCGUGCGCAGGCGGUUUUGUAAGCCAGAUGUGAAAGCCCCGGGCUUAACCUGGGAAUGGCAUUUGGGACUGCAAGGCUGGAGUGUGGCAGAGGAGACUGGAAUUCCUGGUGUAGCAGUGAAAUGCGUAGAUAUCAGGAUGAAUACCGAUGGCGAAGGCAGGUCUCUGGGCUGACACUGACGCUCAUGCACGAAAGCGUGGGGAGCAAACAGG
rnacentral:rRNA from 1 species